rnacentral:piRNA from 1 species
UAAGCAAAAUCAAAGAGGGGAAGAGAAC